CCACGCUUUUCUUGUCAUUUUAAUUGGAUUUUUUUUUAAUCAAGACAGAGUCUUGCUAUCUUGCCCAGGCUGAUCUUGAACUUGUGGGCUCAAGCCAUCCUCCCAACUGAGCCUCCUGAGUAGCUGGGACUACAGGAUGCUUUCAUUGGAUUUGGAGGAAAUGUGAUCAGGCAACAAGUCAAGGAUAACGCCAAAUGGAUGCUUGCUCUUUGAACUCAGCCAUCAUGCUGUGAGGAAGCCCAGAUCACAAGGAGAGGCCACAUUUUGAUGUUCCAGUCAACAGUCCCAGCACAGGUUUCAGAUGACAGCCAACAUCAGUUGCCAGACAUGAGACUGAAGAAGGCUUUGUGAAGACUCCAGCCCCAGCCACUACAACAGCAUGAGAGACCCCAAGUGAAAAUCACCUGCCUGAACCCAUCAACUCCCAGAACCAUGAAAAUAAAAAACUUUUUUUUUUCCAGAUGGAGUUUCACUCUUGUUGCCCAGGCUGGAGUGCAAU
rnacentral:lncRNA from 1 species